rnacentral:misc_RNA from 1 species
UGACCUUUCUUCACUAUUCUUCUAACACGGCCUCUCCUGACUGGAGGACGUCCUCGUGCUCCUGUGUCUCCUGAUGUUGGGCGCCUACCGAGCAGGAGGGCACAGGCUCCGUAGUAGGCUCGCGAGACACAUUGUUGCUCCGAGCAGUUUGCUCAGGCAUGGACUCCAUAUCGUCAUCAUGGUCUGCACCUGAGAACAUAAAACAUAUCGGAUCGGAAUAUCAGCAAUUACCAAGAACACAUUGAUCCGUAGUUGAUCACAAAUACAAAUACAAAUACCAGAAAGGAAGCACGACGUUAGCUAUCUCUGACUGUAAGAAACAUAGGCACGACGUUAGCUUAUUUCUUACAUCCGCUCACCUACAUGGCAUAGGCACGACGUUAGCGUACCAUGAGGCUCGUACGAAUGGCAGAGGCGCGACGUUAGCGUACCAUUUAAAAAUCAACCACAUGGCAUAGGCACGACGUUAGCGUACCAUGAGGCUCAUAGCAGGGUUACAAGCAGGGUUUCCUGCACAAGAAGAUACGGGUCGGUGUAUUUGCAGAUCAAAGAUAGUCAACCGCCGCGGCACCCACUAGUCGGCAGCAUCCGCGAGAUACCAUGACUGACGGUUCAAGAAGACCGCAGACAGAAUACAGUCAGCAGCUGCGUCGCCCGAUUCUGCGGCGCCCGAAGCUCGCAGCUGGCAAGCAGAGUAGCCCGCAGAUAGAAGACAGUCAAGGCUGCAUCGCCUGAGUCGAACUUGCCAGUCACUUGUGCCCGCUGCUUAACGGUCUCUGGCAUGCGAGCUUCGACUAAAACUUGCACCUUCUGUUCGCUCGGCUGCACCUGACCCUUAACGACAGUCCGUUCCGAAAAUUCUACUUUAGUGGACAAAAAAGAGCAUUACUUUAGGUUAAUAGAAAAGCCAGAAUCAGUCAAAGUUUGAAGCACCUUGCGAAGAGUCAACAGACCCUCAUUAAUUGUACUGCUCAGUUUAUACUGAGAUGAUACAUCGUCAAUAUACAUGACAUCAACAGACUCUAAGUAUGCGUAAAGAGUUUUUGACAGUAUCCGCUGGUAAACAACAGGUGCAUUUGCUAAACUAUAGGCAUUUUCAAAUAUUCAUAGUGCCCCUCUGGUGUAACAAAACCUGUGAGUGGUAUUGAGGCAUUAUCCACAGGUAUCGGAUGAAAUCCUAUGGGCAUCUCGAGACUGGCGGUGGCUUUUGUGUUUACGUAAUCGUUCAAUGUGAUCGUCGAUCAACAGUAAAGAGAAGCGAUCGUUAACUGUAAUUUCGUUGAGUUUACGAUAGUCGACACACAUGCAGCCAGACCAGAUUUUUUUUUUUGCUAAUAGGAUAGAACUCGCAUAUUUCAAUUCAGAGUCUAGAUUGAUAUUCUUUUCGAGAAGAUCUUUAAUUGUUUCGUGAAUAUUUUAUAAUUUCGGGAUAAGAUUGCCUCUAGGGCCUUUAAUAAACUGGCAUAGCACUAUUUAAUUUAAUUGACACGCUGCCGGUGUUAACUGUGGACGUAACCGUCCCAGAAAUACAACAGUUCAAAAAUGUCUUAAUUAGGUUUAACAGGUUACUUAAAUUUUGAUCAGCUGUUAAAGAUGUCUUAAUGGGAAUCUGUGUAGUCGGCAUGGUGCAUGUGCAACAUCAACUGUAAGACGAGGCUUGUAAGUAAGGUAUUGCUGGUCACGGGUACGUACAUGAGUAGCAACUCCGCGGUUCAAUACAUCGGUACCAACAAUAAUAGGAGUAUUCAUAAGUUCAGGGGACACGGCAUGUAAGUCCACCUCUAAAGUUAUUUCAUUAAACUUUUGACAAAAUAAGUUGACUCAAUUUUCGCCUAUACCUCUUAAAACUCUGAAAGCUGGCUUACGUGCACAUUUGAAAUGUCUCAGCAACGAUGAAGAAAUCAAGGAUAUACUUGAACCGCUAUCUAUAAGAAUAUCGACAGGAAUUCCCUGUAUGACUGCUACUACUAUAUCUUUGUGUUUAUUAUGGCGGUUUUCCUGGCAGAAGUUCACAUUAUUCGUGUUACGAGAAUCAGAUUUAAGUCUUGCAAAACAAGUUUCAAUUUUAUGACCCGGUUUUUUGCAGAAAGUGCAAGGUGUGGAUUUAUUUAAACUCAGAGCAGAACUAUCCUUCUUAUUGUUUUCAUCGUUGUUGAUUUUAUUAAAAAUGGUUUUAGACUUCUUAAAACAAUGAGACUGUGUAUGACCACGUUGGCCACAUACAAAACAUUUACCUUCCUCAAAUUUACGUCUACGAAAGUUUGCAUCAUGAUUUAAGUUAGAAAAACGGCUAUUACGAGUGCUGUCACUAGAUUUCUUAUUAAUCGUUGAGGAUUUGACAUAAAUAGAGAAGAAUUCUACUAGCUCAUUUGGCAUUAACUUCGCAUUGGUAGCCGAAGCACGAAUUUGCGGAUCCGUAAUGCCCCGUAUAACUAUCGCUGAAAUUAGUUCAUCACUCAACCCCCUAACUAUGCGUAGCUUUAAUAAGGACCGGCGAGCAUAAUCGGCAUAUGUCAGGUAUUUAUCAGAAUCAUUACUCAUGACCUCGUAUAAAAUAUUUGAAAUAUCCGGUUUCCUAGGGCACAACGGCUUAAAUUCUUUCUUAAAAUUGCUCCAACUACGAUCGUUAGUUACCCAUUCAUUGAGCCAAGUCCUAGCAUCCCCUUUAAGACAGUUACCGAUGCGAGACAGACACUCAUUAUCGUUCCAAUAGUUUGUACUCUUAGCACGAUCAACUUCCUCACACCAGGCGUCUAUAUCGUGGAUACUAGGAUCGAAAUUAGAUAUGUAAUAAGAUUGGUUAGAUCUCACCGUUGUGUUGAUUGAACGUAUCGCAUCGAUUAUACGAUCGGUCCCGCUGGCGUCAUGGUCCGUAAUUGCACUCACGGGACGCCCCGGCGAGGACAGCACAGCAGACUCUCGGCCUUCCACCGCCGAGCUCUGAUACUCAGCUACAGGUGCGGUGACAGGUCGCAGCCGUGGUGGCGUUGGCGCAGACGCACCGGCUCUCGGCUCGUAUGGCCGCGGCUGUGAGGAGCGGCGUUGCCCCUCCAGUGCAGUUAAACGACUGAAAAUUUGUUGCAUUUGUUCGAUUAGCACGUUAUUAGGCGUCUAGAACCAGAAUCACUGUCACUUGAGUGUACAGCACUGUGUACAGGACGCGAGUUACGGUUUCUAGAGCGACUUCUACUUUUACGAUUUUGAUUUGACAUUUUCUUUACUAAUUUUAACAGUAAAUUACGAAAAAUAAAAGUAAAAUAUGUAAGAAGCUAAAUAGCACAAUAGAGUAAUAACAAAUUAGUUCUCAAUUCACAAAUUUAUUUAAAAUCUUCUAAAAUUAUAUUAAAAAUCACUGUACGUACUAUUAAAAAUAUUGAAACGUAAAUAUUGAAACUUACUCACCAGGGUUCUUAGUAUUGUAUACUUUACCAUACAACCAAGCAGAUUUCAACCUACUUACGUAGCGGCAAGGAACAUGAAAACAAUUCACUGUUCGAACGCAACAAAAACAACUCGUUAAGUGUUUCGAAUCAUGUUUCGAAUAGUCAAACUACCAUAUCUCAGGAACGCAAAGCGGAUUAGGUUACGUGAAGUGUCGUAUCCCACUUCUGAUUUUAGGAACCAGAUGUGGAAUCGAAAUAAAAAAUACAGUAACAAUUACUUACAAGCUUUUAUACUUAUAUCAGGAUAGACUGUAUGUAACCAAAUGUGUUACAAAAAUAAAAUAAAGCUAACGUUUAAAUAACUUUAACGAAUACUACUCGAUUACAAAA